GCGAGGGUGUAGCCAGCCCAAGAGUCUCCACAAAUCUCAAGCCAAAGUGUAGGCUACUCGUCUAGUCAACACUCAAGGCGGAAAGUGCCUGCUGGGACACUGCGCAGUCACAAGUGCUGAUCAAAGCCUCUGCUGCAGGUCGAAGGAACCUGGCAGUGACAGGCCGAAUCAAGCUGGCAGCAGAGAGAGGACAUAGGGGCCUAAGAAGGGAGGCCUACUCUUAACAUCACCCAUCCAGCAGGAUACUUACUGUAAACAAUGGCUAACCCCACCCCCAAUCUCCAGCUUCAGCCAGAGUACAACCACACGGGUAGUGACCACCACCGCUGCUGCUGCCGCCGCUGCCACCAUCACCAACUCAUCCACCACCACUGCUGCCGACACCAUCACCAACACAUCCACCACCGCUGCCACCGCCACCAACACCUCCACCACAAUCACCUCCUCCACCACCACCUUCUCCUCCACCACCACCACAACCUCCUCCACCACCACCGCCUCCAUAGCCUCCAACACCAUCGCCUCCACCACCAUCACCUCCACCUCCUCCAUCGUUCGGAAGGCGAGUUGGUGCCACGGUGCUCAAUAGAACUAAUAGGAGCUGGCAGGGUGAAAAAUGCACUAUAAUAAGGUCUGUUUUUUCGCGAUUAAUUCAAAACGACGGCAAGCUUGACUGCCGUUGCAAGAACAGAACGCUAAAAUCAACCCUACUACUUGGCCCAAACGUCCAGUGUGCACUCUGAGAGUGAAACGGUCUGAAUUUACAAACUGACAAUUUUUCUAAGAAUGGAAACACCAUGAUAUUAAUUAAAUGAAUUAAGCCAAAUUUCUUAAAAUCAAUCCCUUAAACUAUGUUAUUAUAAGUUUUAAGGUUUUAAAUUCUCUGGUAAUGCCAAAAUGGAAUACUUUUAAAUGCUUCUCAAAGAUGCUCUUUGGUGGUCAAUCUAGCAAUAACUUGCAGUAACAGAAGAAAUGGCUGAGAAUUAAAUGACGUGCCACAGAAUGCUGCAGCAGCACGGAGGGUGUGCCGCAGUAUGACACAACUUUUAAAGGAGGAACCACUGCUAUGGGUGUACUUCAAUAUCAAACAGUGACCUGGGUUCUGGGAUCCUGCAACACCGGCUAGCCAUAUCGCGCCUCAGAGGAAUAUUUCACAUUGUAUUAGGCUGAUUUACCCCUAAACCCCUUCCUUCUCCUAGCCAGCGUUGGUCCCAGCUCUAACUAUGAUCCCUGUGGGAUGAACAGGAGAUAUGAAUAUAAAUAAGUGUGUGACAGCUUGCUGGCUUCUUCUGAGGAGCUCCUGGAUAAAAGCCUCCCCUAUACUGAGGCCCUUGCGGGCCCAUCCUAACCAAACGCUGUUCUUUUGUCUCAGCUGUCAAUCACUGUCAGCCACCAAUGGCUGCCACAACUUGGGGGGACAGGAAGGGGCCUGGCGUGUCCCAAAACGGAUCUUGCUAUGCAAUACUAGUUGUGUGUGUGUGUGUGUUGUGUGGGUGGUAGGGGAAUGUAAUUUGGAAAUCUGAAAUUCUAAAACACAAUUAAACCCAUGUACACAAAGCAUACUAAGAGCCGUACACCUUAAUUAAAGGCAACAAUGUUCCCCUUCUCCCUUCCCUCUGUCUCUCUCCCCCCCAUUCCCUUCUGUCUUUGUGGGGUCUGGGCUGCUGUGAAAAUAUUUACCCAGGGAGGGUUCACUGCUGGAGGGGCUGCUCCCCUCCCACCACCCCACAUAAUCAGUCUAAAUACAUUAUCCACUUAUUGGAGAUGAGCAGCGACGCUGGAGGGGAUGUGCGGUCUGCGUAACAUAGCUACGGUUAUGGCCGCCAGUAUGACAGGGUAAUGAAUUUCUGCUCUGAGCGCCCGGAGAGGAGGAAUGACUGCCCAAAGGAAGAGUCGCUAAUCAGACACUUGGAGAGGAGGAAUGACUGCCCAAAGGAAGGGCCGCUAAUCAGACACCUGGAGAGGAGGAGUGACUGCCCAAAGGAAGGGCCGCUAAUCAGACACCUGGAGAGGGGGAAUGACUGCCCAAAGGACGGGCCGCUAAUCAGACACCUGUGUGUCUUAUGGCUUAGAUCCCGCUAACGGGAUCGAUAUGACAACAGCCAGUGAAAGUAUGAAGUAUUUUACACCAUUUUAAAGAUAAACUUCUUAAUCCCACCACAGUGUCCAAUUUCAAAAAGGCUUUACGACUAAAGCACACCAAAUGAUUAUGUUAGGUCUGCACCUAGUCACAGAAAGACACAUCUUGAUGAAAAUACAAGUGUUAUGCAUGGAACUUUUGAUAAACUUCUCCUUAAUGCAACCGCUGUGUAAUAAAUAAAAAAAAGCUUUACCGAAAAAGCACACCAUGCAAAAAUCUGAGACAAGCUCAAACACAAAAACAAGCUAUACAGAUAUCCGCCAUGUUGUGGAGUCAACAGAAGUCAGAAAUAGCAUUAUAAAUAUUCACUUACCUUUGAUGAUCUUCAUCAGAAUGCACUCCCAGGAAUCCCAGUUCCACAACAAAAGUUUGAUUUGUUCGAUAAAGUCCCUAAUUUAUGUCCAAAUACCUCCUUUCCAUGUUGUCUGUAGCUUGUGAGGUGUGGAAACACUCUGUUGCUUUUAUGAAUUUUGUCUUGUUGCUUUUUGUUUUAUGUUGCUCUGUCUGUAUGCUAUGUCUUGCUUGUCCUAUGUUGCUCUGUCUGUAUGCUAUAUCUUGCUUGUCCUAUGUUGCUAUGUCUUGCUUGUUCUAUGCUGCUAUUGUCUAUAUUGUAAUUGUUUUUAAUAACCUGCCCAGGGACUGCGGUUGAAAAUUAGCCGGCUGGCUAAAACCAGCACUUUUACUGAAACGUUGAUUAAUGUGCACUGUCCCUGUAAAAAUUAAAAAUAAACUAAAAAACUAAAACUAAAAAAAGAAAAACUCCCUAGGAAGCCAUUUAUGUGAACAGUGUCUGAACACUAUCUGCUGUUGCUAUACAGGGGGUUUGCAGUAGGUAUACAGGGGGUUAGGAUGUAGGUAUAAAGAGCGUUAGAUGUAGGUAUACAGGGGGUUAGAUGUUGGUAUACAGGGGGUUAGAUGUAGGUAUGCAUGGGGUUAGCUGUUGGUAAACAGGGGGUUAGCUGUAGGUAUACAGGUGAUAGGUAUUCAUGGGGUAAGCUGUAGGUAUACAGGUGAUAGGUAUACAGGAGGUUAGCAGUAGGUAUGCAGGGGGUUAGCUGUAGGUACACAAGUGAUAGGAAUACAUGAGGGUUAGCUGUCUGUAUGUAGGUGGAAGGGUUAGCAGUAUGUGAACAGGUGGUAGGUAUACAGGGGGUUAGCAGUAGGUUUACAG
rnacentral:lncRNA from 13 species